ACGGGGAAUUAGGGUUCAAUUCCGGAGAGGGAGCCUGAGAAACGGCUACCACAUCUAAGGAAGGCAGCAGGCGCGCAAAUUACCCAAUUCUAACAGCAUAAGAGAGGUAGUGACAAGAAAUAACAGUACAAGGCAGUUAAAAUGCUUUGUAAUUGGAAUGAUAGAAAUUUAAAUACUUUUUAAAGUAUCAAUUGGAGGGCAAGUCUGGUGCCAGCAGCCGCGGUAAUUCCAGCUCCAAUAGCGUAUAUUAAAAUUGUUGCAGUUAAAAAGCUCGUAGUUGAAUUUCUGCUAAAAAUAACCGGUCUGCUUUUAUUAAUAAAAGUGGUAUCUUGGUGUGUUUUUAGCAAUAAUGUCCUUUGAAAUGUUUUUUACUUUAUUGCGAAAAGCAAUUUUCAGGAUUUUUACUUUGAGAAAAUUAGAGUGUUUCAAGCAGGCUAACGUUUUGAAUACUGCAGCAUGGAAUAAUAAAAUAGGAUUUUAGUUCUACGUUAUUGGUUUUAAGAACUAAAUUAAUGAUUGAUAGGAGCAGUUGGGGGCAUUUGUAUUUAACUGUC
rnacentral:rRNA from 1 species